rnacentral:rRNA from 1 species
UGCGCAGGCGGCCGUGUAAGUCAGAGGUGAAAUAUGACGGCUCAACCGUCAAACCGCCUCUGAGACUGCUCGGCUUGAGUCCGGGAGAGGAAGGUGGAAUUCCUGGUGUAGCGGUGAAAUGCGUAAAUAUCAGGAGGAACACCGGUGGCGAAGGCGGCCUUCUGGCCCGGUACUGACGCUCAUGCACGAAAGCCAGGGGAGCGAACG